GAAAGGAACCGUUGGUGCCAGUGGAGACCUUGCCCCACUCUCUCAUCUUGCUCUUGGGCUAGUUGGAGAAGGGAAGAUGUGGUCUCCGAAGAGUGGCUGGGCUGAUGCUAAAUACCAUAAAGCAUCAUUUAAUGUAUCAUCCCUGAUGAACUGCUGGGAGCUUCCCUGAUAGUAAGUGAAAGGGGUAGAGGGCCCCAGAAGAGGAAACAGCUAAGGAAAUAGAUAAUCCUUUUGGGGAUGCAGCUUCUAGAUCAUCUGUCUUCCGUGCAGGCUUGUCUUUGAUUAUUUCACUAUGGACAGCGUUUUCCUCCGACCACCCUCAUACAGCAAUCACCCUGACCUUUCUAAACAGCAAAUUCAAGCAUGUUCUGGUGAAAACUUGUAAUGCUUCCCAUUGUCCUCAGGAUAAAGGCUAAACUUAAAGUGGCUUUCAAGGGUCUUGUUUGUCAC
rnacentral:lncRNA from 10 species